AUGUACUUGCAGUUUUUACUUUUACCAUAUUCAUUUUCUCUGUUGUUUUUUUUAGAUUCUAUCAUGAAUUUCGGUGACUGGGAAUUAUUUAAAAUCACUAUCGUUUCAUUACGGGCGCAAGAAAUGACAUUAGUUUCCCAACAAGAUGAGCUUCCCGGCAGAAAUGUUAGGUUUAACAAUAAUCCCUCAAAUCGAUCUCAACAAACUCAACCGGAACGAAGAGCCAGUAAUCCUAAUUGCAAACCAAACAAUGGCUCCAGUGGAAGUAGUAAUCCAACAAGUCAAUCUGAUAGGGCAAACAAACAAUCAGUAAUGGAAAAGCAGGUAACACUUGAGGAGCAGAUGAUUUGCGGAGCACUGCAGACAUUGAAUGAAGAAGCGUGUGAGGAUGUCUUGGAAGAGGCAGAUGAGCAAGUUAUAGCAUCACUACAAGUGCCAUCUUAUGAUCAGUCAGGUCCAGGAGGGCGAAUGCGAUCACUCAGUCAAAGUAGUUACAACAGUUCAAUUUGCCAUGAUCCAAAUGAAACAGAUGUCAUUCUUCUGCAGUGUUCGCCUGUUCAUCCGCCUUACUGGGCACCAUGCACUGUGAAUCAAACUUUUGACAGUAUUAGCUGUGCCGGUUCGUUUACUGAAACUCCCAUUCUAUCCCGAAAGCAGUCACUAUUUGACUCUAAGGUACAUAUAUAG
rnacentral:lncRNA from 1 species